rnacentral:misc_RNA from 1 species
AACGCACAUUGCGCCCCCUGGCAUUCCGGGGGGCAUGCCUGUCCGAGCGUCAUUUCAACCCCUCAAGCGCGGCUUGUGCUAUGGGCGCCACGUCCCCCCGGCGGGGGGACGCGCCUGGAACGCAGCGGGGACCCCGGGACUUCACCUGUGCCUCAGCUAAUGGGAGCAAAACCAGAGCUGCACGGCGGGUGCCCGGCGUCGACCUCAGGGGGCCUUCGGGCCCGACACCAACCACGGUUGACCUCGGAUCAGGUAGGGAUACCCGCUGAACUUAA